GACGAACGCUGGCGGCGUGCCUAAUACAUGCAAGUAGAACGCUGAAGGAGGAGCUUGCUCUUCUGGAUGAGUUGCGAACGGGUGAGUAACGCGUAGGUAACCUGCCUGGUAGUGGGGGAUAACUAUUGGAAACGAUAGCUAAUACCGCAUAAUAACAGUUGUUGCAUGACAACUGUUUGAAAGGUGCAAUUGCAUCACUACCAGAUGGACCUGCGUUGUAUUAGCUAGUUGGUGGGGUAACGGCUCACCAAGGCGACGAUACAUAGCCGACCUGAGAGGGUGAUCGGCCACACUGGGACUGAGACACGGCCCAGACUCCUACGGGAGGCAGCAGUAGGGAAUCUUCGGAAAUGGACGAAAGUCUGACCGAGCAAAGCCGCGUGAGUGAAGAAGGUUUUCGGAUCGUAAAGCUCUGUUGUAAGAGAAGAACGAGUGUGAGAGUGGAAAGUUCACACUGUGACGGUAUCUUACCAGAAAGGGACGGCUAACUACGUG
rnacentral:rRNA from 1 species